GCCCGGUUAGCUCAAUCGGUAGAGCGUGAGACUCUUAUUCAGAGCACACGAUCUGAUAUCUCAAGGUUGCGGGUUCGACCCCCGCAUUGGGCU